UUUUAGGGGCUCCUUUGACUAAAACACAUUCAAUGCAUUGAAAACAUGUUUUAUUUACUUAAAGUAAUUGCACCAUAAGAGCAUUACCGAAUAGAACCAAAGAGUAUGUCUAUAUCCUGUUUCACUCAUCAUCCUAUCCUUGCCCCCCUACCCCUUCUCAAAAUAUACCUCAGUUAUCCAAUUCGGGUUUGUCACUCUUUUCGUGGCAUCAUUUACACUUGCGCCAUUGCUCGCACUGCUCAACAACAUCAUUGAAGUGUGGGUCGACGCGUGGAAGCUCGUAACAAAGAUGAUGAGGCCUGUGGUUUCGCGAGCAAGAGGAAUUGGAGCCUGGGCCGACAUUCUGAGUAUCGUUGCCACCCUCUCCGUAAUCACCAAUUCAUGCAUCUUGGCGUUCACAACGGACAUCAUCCCAUGCCUGGUGUAUUAUUAUGGAUACUCAGCAGAGUAUGGCACAGGUUCGCCCACAAUGCAUGGGUACACGGAGGACAGCCUUUCAAUUUUCAAGAUCACCGACUUCAAGUAGCAAAAUCAUCCCAACAUCCUGCCAGCCUGGUUUGAUCCGGCAAUCCACACAACCUGCAGGUAUCCAGGUUAUCGCUACCCGCCGGAUCAUCCCCAAGCCUACUCCGUCACCAAGCAGUACUGGCAAGUACUGACGGCAAAGCUGGCCUUCGUCAUUGCCAUGCAGGUACACAUCAACAUGCACACACACACAUUCAUAAACCCAUUGAAAGAUAAAGGUACAGCCCUCCAAUUACUUGCUCA